rnacentral:misc_RNA from 1 species
GAUGAAGAACGCAGCAAAAUGCGAUAAGUAAUGUGAAUUGCAGAAUUCAGUGAAUCAUCGAAUCUUUGAACGCACAUUGCGCCCGCUGGUAUUCCGGCGGGCAUGCCUGUUCGAGCGUCAUUUCAACCCUCAAGCCCCCGGGUUUGGUGUUGGGGAUCGGCUCUGCCCUUCUGGGCGGUGCCGCCCCCGAAAUACAUUGGCGGUCUCGCUGCAGCCUCCAUUGCGUAGUAGCUAACGCCUCGCAACUGGAACGCGGCGCGGCCAUGCCGUAAAACCCCAACUUCUGAAUGUUGACCUCGGAUCAGGUAGGAAUACCCGCUGAACUUAAGCAUAUCAAUAAGCGGAGGA